rnacentral:rRNA from 1 species
UUUCGCAAUGCCCGAAAGGGUGACGAAGCGACGCCGCGCGUGGGAAGAAGGCCUUCGGGUUGUAAACCACUGUCAUGAGUUAAGAAAUGCAUGUGCGUUAAUAGCGUUCUUACUUGACUAAGGCUCCAGAGGAAGCCACGGCUAACUCUGUGCCAGCAGCCGCGGUAAUACAGAGGCGGCAAGCGUUGUUCGGAAUUAUUGGGCGUAAAGAGCACGUAGGCGGCCCUGAAAGUCAGUUGUGAAAGCCUUCUGCUUAACGGAAGAAUAGCAUCUGAUACUACAGGGCUAGAGUGCGGGAGGGGAGAGUGGAACUUCUGGUGGAGCGGUGAAAUGCGUAGAUAUCAGAAGGAACGCCGGCGGCGAAAGCGGCUCUCUUGCCCGUAACUGACGCUGAGUGUGCGAAAGCUAGGGGAGCAAACGGGAUUAGAUACCCCGGUAGUCCUAGCCGUAAACGAUGGGCACUAAGUAGAGGGGUUUU